GAAAAAAAUGGCCUCAGGCAUGGAUAUGAUGGAAGGAACGCGGUGAGCAAGGUCCAAUGAGAGAGGGCAGGGAGGUGAAGCCAGGGGCUGCACCUAGUGUUGGGUGGUGGCUGCUCGUCCGUGGUUGGUUUGUGUGUCUCUUGCAGGGUGGCAGAUGGCCAUGCAUUGUGUUGGCGUGUUUGUUGCAGGUCCUUGUUUUCAUUACCUGAAAGAGUAAGGUAAUGGGAGACGUGCGACUGCUCUCCUGGUAAGGUCAUUUAUGCCCACCCUUUCUUCAUCCUGGCUUUCCUGGGGCUGAAAUUUACAUUUCUGGUCUUUGAAGGCAGCUCUUCUGUCAGUGUGUGCAAUCCACUGUGGCUCCUGCAAUCCCAUUACUGUCCCAGAUAGAGCGAUGAAUUUGCUGGUGGUGGCUGCUGCCUCUGCAUUUCUGACCAGAGUUUCCGGGACGGAUGUGAAAAAUCCUGCAUCAGGUAUGGAUAUCAUGGAAGUAAUGCGGUGAGCAAGGUCCAGUGAGCGAGGGCAGGGAGGUGAAGCCUGGGGCUGCACCUAGUGAUGGGUGGUGGCUGCUCCUCCUUUGUUGCUUUGUUUGUCUCUUGCAGAGUGGCAUAUGGCCAUGCAUUGUGUUGGCGUGUUUGUUGCAGGUCCUUGUUUUCAUUACCUCAAAGAGUAAGGUAAUGGGAGACCUGACACUGCUGGUAUGGUCACUUUAAAUGUCGUUUAUCCCAACCUGGUUUUCCUGGGGUUUGAAAUCUCCAUCCUUCAUCUUUGAAGGGAGCUUAUUUGUCCGUGAGUCAUUCCAGUGUGGCUUCUGCAAACCCAGUGCUGUCUGUGGUAGUGUGAUGAAUUUGCUGGUGUUGUCUGCUGUCUCCGUAAUUUUUGACCAGAAUUUCCUGGAUGGAUGUGAAAAAAACGGCAUCAUGCUUGGUUUUCAUGAAAGUAAUGCAGUGAGCAAGGUCCAAUGAGAGAGGGCAGGGAGGUGAAGCCAGGGUCUGCCCCUAGGAAUGAAUGGUGGCUGCUCCUUUGUUGCUUUGUGUGUCUCCUGCAGCCUGGCAGAUGGGCAUGAAUCGACGUGUUUGUUGCAAAUCCUUGUCCUCUGCCUGAAAGAGUAAGGAAAUGGGAGGCCUUUGACUGCUCUACUGAUAAGGUCAUUUAUGCCCACCUGUUUUUCAUCAUUGUUUUCCUGGGCUGAAAUGUCCAUGCUUGUGCUUUGAAGGGAGCUCUGUUAUCUGUGUGUGCAGUCCGCUGUGUCACCUGCAAUCCCAUUGCUGUCCCAGAUAGAGUGAUGAAUUUGCUGGUGUUGGCCUCUGUCUCUGCAUUUUUGACCAGAGUUUCCUGGAUGGAUGUGAAAAAUACUGCAUCAGGCUUGGAUAUCAUGGAAGUAGUGUGGUGAGCAAGGUCCAAUGAGAGAGGGCAUGGAGGUGAUGCCCAGCGGUUCCUUUAGGGAUUGGUGGUUGCUUCUUCUCUGUCGUUGCUUUUUGUAUCUGUUGCAGCUUGAUGGCAUUCCUUUGUUUGACCUACCACUUUUCAUGCCCUUUUCUUCUCCAUACCAUCUGAAGUUGAUUUAGUCUAUGCUUUAUUCUAGUGGAAUGAUAAGUGAAUCCAACUGGUAUCAUUGUGUUUUUUUUGAGGCCUGAAAUCUCCUUAGCUCUGUGGUUUAGGGGGUCUUUAUGACACCUGUUAUGUUUUGCAUCAGGUUGUGUAACCCCAGUCCUGUACUUAUUACUGUUAUUAAAUGGCUGCUGCAGGCCCCUGCCUUGGAGUUCUGGGAAGAGGUUGCCAUGAUGAGUUUAUCUAAUGCGUCAGGAGCCGCUGCUGUCAUGCAAGUGAGCAGACUAUCCCAAGUUGGAAGGGAUCCACAAGGAUCAUCGAGUCCAACUCCUGAUGCCACACAGGACCAUCCAAACCCUAUGCCUGAGAGCACUGUCCAAACACUCCAACUCCAGCAGUUUUUGUUUCUUACAGCAUCACAUCUUGCUUUGAUGUGAUUAAAUUUCUGGUGUUCACCACUGUUUCUGGAUUGUUGAGAAGAGUUUCCCAGGAUGAAUGUAAAAUGUACUGUAGCAAUACUUUUUACAGUCAUGGAAGUAACCAGGUGAGAAGGUUGUGAGUGGAGAUGUCUGGGAGGAUAUUACUGUGUCUGCCUAUAAUAAUGCCUUGAGAAUGACAUCACCAAAACAUGGAACACCUCUAUCCUCUCACUCCUCCACAAAUCCAUUUGAGAGUGUCUUGACCUUUUACAAAGACAGAAGGUCAUUCAUCUAAGGACUGAGGGACACUCAGACCCUGACUGUAGCCCAUAAUGAUCUGAAUUCAGCUGGAAUCUGCCUGUAGCCAUGGACAAAGGGAACUCUCAGCACCAACCACUUUCUCUUUCUGAACCAUCUGAAAAUAAAUUUUUUAAUU
rnacentral:lncRNA from 7 species